GUGGGGAAUUUUGGACAAUGGGGGCAACCCUGAUCCAGCCAUCCCGCGUGUGCGAUGAAGGCCUUCGGGUUGUAAAGCACUUUUGGCAGGGAAGAAAAGUUUCGGGCUAAUACCCUGGAGCGAUGACGGUACCUGCAGAAUAAGCACCGGCUAACUACGUGCCAGCAGCCGCGGUAAUACGUAGGGUGCAAGCGUUAAUCGGAAUUACUGGGCGUAAAGCGUGCGCAGGCGGUUCGGAAAGAAAGAUGUGAAAUCCCAGGGCUUAACCUUGGAACUGCAUUUUUAACUGUCGAACUCGAGUAUGUCAGAGGGGGGUAGAAUUCCACGUGUAGCAGUGAAAUGCGUAGAGAUGUGGAGGAAUACCGAUGGCGAAGGCAGCCCCCUGGGAUAAUACUGACGCUCAUGCACGAAAGCGUGGGGAGCAAACAGGAUUAGAAACCCGUGUAGUCC
rnacentral:rRNA from 1 species